rnacentral:rRNA from 1 species
ACGCACGCUGGCGGCGUGCUUAACACAUGCAAGUCGAACGGAAAGGCCCUGCUUUUGUGGGGUGCUCGAGUGGCGAACGGGUGAGUAACACGUGAGUAACCUGCCCUUGACUUUGGGAUAACUUCAGGAAACUGGGGCUAAUACCGGAUAGGAGCUCCUGCUGCAUGGUGGGGGUUGGAAAGUUUCGGCGGUUGGGGAUGGACUCGCGGCUUAUCAGCUUGUUGGUGGGGUAGUGGCUUACCAAGGCUUUGACGGGUAGCCGGCCUGAGAGGGUGACCGGCCAAAUGGGGACUGAGAUAGGGCCCAGAACCCUACGGGAGGCAGCAGGGGGGAAUAUUGCACAAGGGGCGGAAGCCUGAUGCAGAAACGCCGCGUGGGGGAUGACGGCCUUCGGGUGGUAAACCGCUUUCGCCUGGGACGAAGGGGGGGUGACGGUAAUGGGUAAAGAAGCACCGGCUAACUACGU